rnacentral:rRNA from 1 species
ACUCCUACGGGAGGCAGCAGUGGGGAAUAUUGCACAAUGGGCGCAAGCCUGAUGCAGCCAUGCCGCGUGUGUGAAGAAGGCCUUCGGGUUGUAAAGCACUUUCAGUCGUGAGGAAGGUGGUGUCGUUAAUAGCUGCAUCAUUUGACGUUAGCGACAGAAGAAGCACCGGCUAACUCCGUGCCAGCAGCCGCGGUAAUAC